ACAAGCGGUGGAUGAUGUGGAUUAAUUCGAUGCAACGCGAAAAACCUUACCUACCCUUGACAUGUCAGGAAGUCUGCUGAGAGGUGGAUGUGCCCGAAAGGGAACCUGAACACAGGUGCUGCAUGGCUGUCGUCAGCUCGUGUCGUGAGAUGUUGGGUUAAGUCCCGCAACGAGCGCAACCCUUGUCAUUAAUUGCCAUCAUUCAGUUGGGCACUUUAAUGAGACUGCCGGUGACAAACCGGAGGAAGGUGGGGAUGACGUCAAGUCCUCAUGGCCCUUAUGGGUAGGGCUUCACACGUCAUACAAUGGUCGGUACAGAGGGUUGCCAACCCGCGAGGGGAGCCAAUCCCACAAAGCCGAUCGUAGUCCGGAUCGCAGUCUGCAACUCGACUGCGUGAAGUCGGAAUCGCUAGUAAUCGUGGAUCAGCAUGUCACGGUGAAUACGUUCCCGGGUCUUGUACACACCGCCCGUCACACCAUGGGAGUGGGUUCCACCAGAA
rnacentral:rRNA from 1 species